UACGUAGGGCGCAAGCGUUAUCCGGAAUUAUUGGGCGUAAAGAGCUCGUAGGCGGUCUGUCGCGUCUGCUGUGAAAUCCCGAGGCUCAACCUCGGGCCUGCAGUGGGUACGGGGCAGACUAGAGUGCGGUAGGGGAGAUUGGAAUUCCUGGUGUAGCGGUGGAAUGCGCAGAUAUCAGGAGGAACACCGGUGGCGAAGGCGGGUCUCUGGGCCGAUAUUGACGCUGAGGAGCGAAAGCGUGGGGAGCGAACAGG
rnacentral:rRNA from 1 species